CCUAUAUGCCACUCUGCCCCAUAAUAUGCCCUUUAACCCCCUAAAUGCCAGAGUGGCAUAUAGGGGUAUAAGGCAUUUCUGGAGGCAGAGUGGCACAUAGGGGGUCAAAAGGCAUAUCAUGGGGCAUAUUUAUAAUGUUGCAUAAAGGCCACUAAAAAUAAUUUUAAAAAAUACAGGUAUAUUUUUGAGGAUUUAAUGUAGAAUAAAAUAUUAAAAAGUAGCACGGGGCAAGAUUGGAGAAAUUGAUUAUUUUAUAAUACAAGUAGUAGAUCUUAAUAUGUAUUAGCCAUACAAUAGUUUCACCCUUGUACACUCUGGGAUAUCCAAAGACAUUUAAUAAUAAUAAUCCUAAUACUUUAUGUAUUAUUCCAUUUUUGUAGUGCAAUUAUAUUUGAAAGUGUCCCACAAACUACCUCCAAAAAAGAUUUCAGUUUCACCAAAGUAUGGUAUAAAAAAAAUCGAAUAGAGCAAAGAA